UACGAAGGGUGCAAGCGUUACUCGGAAUUACUGGGCGUAAAGCGUGCGUAGGUGGUGAGUUAAGUCUGUCGUGAAAGCCCCGGGCUCAACCUGGGAAUGGCGAUGGAUACUGGCUCGCUAGAGUGCGGUAGGGGAGAGUGGAAUUCCCGGUGUAGCAGUGAAAUGCGUAGAGAUCGGGAGGAACAUCAGUUGCGAAGGCGGCUCUCUGGACCAGCACUGACACUGAGGCACGAAAGCGUGGGGAGCGAACAGG
rnacentral:rRNA from 1 species